GUGUCAGCAGCCGCGGUAAUACGAAGGUUGCAAGCGUUGUUCGGAAUCACUGGGCUUAAAGCGUAUGUAGGCGGAUGAGUAAGCGUUUUGUGAAAUCCCUCGGCUUAACCGGGGAAUUGCUUGGCGAACUGCUCAUCUUGAGGCAAAUAGGGGUACAUGGAACUCUUGGUGGAGCGGUGGAAUGCGUAGAUAUCAAGAGGAACGCCAGCGGCGAAAGCGGUGUACUGGAUUUGUCCUGACGCUCAGAUACGAAAGCGUGGGGAGCAAACGGGAUUAGAUACCCCAGUAGUCC
rnacentral:rRNA from 1 species